GGCAAAUGUUUCAAGGGCGUGAACUACCUGUAUUUUCGUGAACACCUGGUGUCUUCACUGAUUUUCUCAGUGGUUCAUUCAUAUCAUUUUGACAGCUAUUUUGUGAUUUGCAACACUCUGAGGAAAGCGGACUGUUUUUAUAAAUAUUCCUUGAUUCCAACCACUUUCUACAUUUCUUUCCCCCAGCGUUGUCACAUACAUCCUUGACGCAGAAUCAGACGGGGGCUACCAGGAGAUAGAAGAGAGAGGAUACGUUCAUCAGCGGGAAGACGAAAACGACGGGAGCUACCAGGAAAUAGAAGGUUGGUGUCUAAAGGUUAACUACAAGCAUGAUGUGUAACGGCUG